UCUUCUCCAUCUUGAUUUUGCGGGGAGUAAUUUAAGACACUGGCGAUAAAAAAGACUGCAUGCAUUGGAAUAUCUGUUCCAGCAGAAAUGGUGAGGGGGAGGUCCUUGAAAGCAAAUGAUCGAAUGAAAAAGGGUACUCAUAUUCCGCUGUUUUCUAUGCCAAAGAAUGAUACUCCAGCCUUCAUGGAUAACCUGUAAGGCUCAUUGAAGGCCAAGCACGGGAGAAUUGUAGGGUCUUGGAUUUCUUUUUUUUUUUUUUUAUAAGUACAAAUUUUAUUUAAAAAAAACAAGUAAAAUGAUAUAUAUAAACUAUUGUAUCCCUUUACGUGGUAAAUUUUGAUAAGAAAAA